rnacentral:rRNA from 1 species
AGACACCAAGGCAGAUCAUGUUAAACACCCCUUAACAAAGGACUAAACCAAAUGACCCCUGCCCUAAUGUCUUUGGUUGGGGCGACCGCGGGGAAACAAAAAACCCCCACGUGGAAUGGGAGCACCCCCUCCUAAAACUAAGAGCCGCAGCUCUAGUUAACAGAAUUUCUGACCAAUAAGAUCCGGCAAUGCCGAUCAACGAACCGAGUUACUCUAGGGAUAACAGCGCAAUCCCCUUUUAGAGCCCAUAUCGACAAGGGGGUUUACGACCUCGAUGUUGGAUCAGGACAUCCUAAUGGUGCAGCCGCUAUUAAG